rnacentral:misc_RNA from 1 species
ACAAAAAACAUCGGGGCUCGUUGGCAGAGCAACCGAAGGGGCAACGAAACAAAACACAGCCGAGGGGUUGUUUUUGGCAAACAAAACAAAAGUCGGAUCGACCUCGAACGCCGAGCGACCAGGUCGCUAGGCCGAGGGAUCCGGCGAACUCGCUGGGUUUUCUCAGCGCCUUGGGCCGUCGAAGCCUCCUCCUCCGAGGGGCUCCGUCGCCUUAAGUACAGACGAGCUCGACCGCGACCCCGGGCUUCCGGAACGGUGGGUCGCUUCAUUCAAAAAAAGCACUCGGCAUCGUCGGGAGGUUGGCCUCGACGUUAUAAGCACCCGAGUAUGUACUUUCUCACGUAUACCAACAGAUUUCUUACACAAAACCCGGGGGCGGAGUCGGGAGGCUCUGCUUUUUUCGGGGGUCGGCCGGCGUACCUCGUUGCGCGCCGCGACCGACCGAAUUGGCAUCUUACUUUUUUGA